rnacentral:rRNA from 1 species
AUGGACCAAUCCAUCCCUUUUUCCCGUGCAUAUGCAUCGGACUCGGAUGACGAUGGUCCCGAUGAAGAAGUUGAUGAGGAGGGGUUCACACCGAAGGAGGCCCAAGCAUUCAAGAAGGUAUUCGGGCGGGAUCACAAGACACCAUUGUUCAAGGAUCUUAGUCUCGCGGAUGAAGUCGUUGUGGAUGGUGGCAAAUGCAUAUCUCUUGGAGCUAGGCCAAGUUCUCAC